AGAGUUUGAUCCUGGCUCAGGAUGAACGCUGGCGGCGUGCCUAAUACAUGCAAGUCGAGCGAACGGACGAGAAGCUUGCUUCUCUGAUGUUAGCGGCGGACGGGUGAGUAACACGUGGAUAACCUACCUAUAAGACUGGGAUAACUUCGGGAAACCGGAGCUAAUACCGGAUAAUAUUUUGAACCGCAUGGUUCAAAAGUGAAAGACGGUCUUGCUGUCACUUAUAGAUGGAUCCGCGCUGCAUUAGCUAGUUGGUAAGGUAACGGCUUACCAAGGCAACGAUGCAUAGCCGACCUGAGAGGGUGAUCGGCCACACUGGAACUGAGACACGGUCCAGACUCCUACGGGAGGCAGCAGUAGGGAAUCUUCCGCAAUGGGCGAAAGCCUGACGGAGCAACGCCGCGUGAGUGAUGAAGGUCUUCGGAUCGUAAAACUCUGUUAUUAGGGAAGAACAUAUGUGUAAGUAACUGUGCACAUCUUGACGGUACCUAAUCAGAAAGCCACGGCUAACUACGUGCCAGCAGCCGCGGUAAUACGUAGGUGGCAAGCGUUAUCCGGAAUUAUUGGGCGUAAAGCGCGCGUAGGCGGUUUUUUAAGUCUGAUGUGAAAGCCCACGGCUCAACCGUGGAGGGUCAUUGGAAACUGGAAAACUUGAGUGCAGAAGAGGAAAGUGGAAUUCCAUGUGUAGCGGUGAAAUGCGCAGAGAUAUGGAGGAACACCAGUGGCGAAGGCGACUUUCUGGUCUGUAACUGACGCUGAUGUGCGAAAGCGUGGGGAUCAAACAGGAUUAGAUACCCUGGUAGUCCACGCCGUAAACGAUGAGUGCUAAGUGUUAGGGGGUUUCCGCCCCUUAGUGCUGCAGCUAACGCAUUAAGCACUCCGCCUGGGGAGUACGACCGCAAGGUUGAAACUCAAAGGAAUUGACGGGGACCCGCACAAGCGGUGGAGCAUGUGGUUUAAUUCGAAGCAACGCGAAGAACCUUACCAAAUCUUGAUAUCCUUUGACAACUCUAGAGAUAGAGCCUUCCCCUUCGGGGGACAAAGUGACAGGUGGUGCAUGGUUGUCGUCAGCUCGUGUCGUGAGAUGUUGGGUUAAGUCCCGCAACGAGCGCAACCCUUAAGCUUAGUUGCCAUCAUUAAGUUGGGC
rnacentral:rRNA from 1 species